rnacentral:rRNA from 1 species
UACGUAGGGUGCAAGCGUUGCCCGGAUUUAUUGGGCGUAAAGGGCGCGUAGGCGGCUCUGCACGUUCGUUGUGAAAUCGCCCGGCUCAACUGGGCGGGGUCAGCGGAUACGGCAGAGCUUGAGCAAGCUAGGGGGCAAUGGAAUUCCCGGUGUAGUGGUGGAAUGCGUAGAUAUCGGGAGGAACACCAGUGGCGAAGGCGGCUACCUGGACCAGCACUGACACUGAAGCACGAAAGCGUGGGGAGCAAACAGG